rnacentral:rRNA from 1 species
UACGAAGGGGGGCUAGCGUUGCUCGGAAUCACUGGGCGUAAAGGGUGCGUAGGCGGGUUCUUAAGUCAGAGGUGAAAUCCUGGAGCUCAACUCCAGAACUGCCUUUGAUACUGAGAGUCUUGAGUACGGGAGAGGUGAGUGGAACUGCGAGUGUAGAGGUGAAAUUCGUAGAUAUUCGCAAGAACACCAGUGGCGAAGGCGGCUCACUGGCCCGUUACUGACGCUGAGGCACGAAAGCGUGGGGAGCAAACAGG